UGAGAGACCACCAAGGAAUGCUAGAUGAUAGAGGCUAUAGAAGAAGUGCCUGAAGAAGUUCCCCUAAAUCAAGAACUGCAGUGCAUCCCAAGCAACUUGAUAUAAGGGAUCUAUCAUUUCUUCAGUGUGGCAAAAACGGUACCAUAUUUGUCUCCCUCAGGAUAAUUAAGAGCUGUUCUGGGUUUCCUGACUACUUGCCAAGAAGAAGGAAAUGCAUCAUCC
rnacentral:lncRNA from 11 species